rnacentral:rRNA from 1 species
UACGUAGGGUCCGAGCGUUGUCCGGAAUUACUGGGCGUAAAGAGCUCGUAGGUGGUUUGUCGCGUUGUCCGUGAAAACUCACAGCUCAACUGUGGGCGUGCGGGCGAUACGGGCAGACUGGAGUACUGCAGGGGAGACUGGAAUUCCUGGUGUAGCGGUGGAAUGCGCAGAUAUCAGGAAGAACACCGGUGGCGAAGGCGGCUCUCUGGGCCUUACCUGACGCUGAGGAGCGAAAGCGUGGGUAGCGAACAGG